rnacentral:rRNA from 1 species
UGAGUACGAGAUGCUACGGCAUCGAAGCAGUCUAUGUCAUACUUCCAAGAAAAGCUUGCACUGUCAUAAACAAAGAAUGCCUGUACCAUAACCGACACAGGUGGGUAGGUAGAGUAUACUAAGGGGCGCGAGAUAACUCUCUCUAAGGAACUCGGCAAAAUGACUCCGUAACUUCGGGAGAAGGAGUGCCUUAUUUCUAAGGUUGCAAUAACAAGAUCCAAGCAACUGUUUACCAAAAACACAGGUCUCCGCUAAGUCGUAAGACGAUGUAUGGGGGCUGACGCCUGCCCAGUGCCAGAAGGUUAAAGAAGUUGGUUAGCAUUAGCGAAGCUGAUAACUGAAGCCCUGGUGAACGGCGGCCGUAACUAUAACGGUCCUAAGGUAGCGAAAUUCCUUGUCGGGUAAGUUCCGACCCGCACGAAAGGCGUAAUGAUUUGGAUACUGUCUCGGAGAGGGGCUCGGUGAAAUAGACUUGUCUGUGAAGAUGCGGACUACCUGCACCUGGACAGAAAGACCCUAUGAAGCUUUACUGUAACUUGAGAUUGAAAUUGGACUUUAUUUGCGCAGUAUAGGUGGGAGGCGUUGAGAAUAAUCUUGCGGGAUUGUUGGAGCCAUCAGUGAGAUACCACUCUUGUAAUGUUAGAUUUCUAACUUUGUAUCAUUAUCUGGUCAAAGAACAGUUUCAGGCGGGCAGUUUGACUGGGGCGGUCGCCUCCCAAAGGGUAACGGAGGCGCACAAAGGUUUCCUCUGAACGGGUAGAAAUCGUAUCUAGAGUGUAAAGGCAUAAGGAAGCUUGACUGUGAGACCUACAAGUCGAGCAGGGACGAAAGUCGGUCUUAGUGAUCUGACGGUGCUGAGUGGAAAGGCCGUCACUCAACGGAUAAAAGUUACUCUAAGGAUAACAGGCUGAUCUCCCCCAAGAGUUCACAUCGACGGGGAGGUUUGGCACCUCGAUGUCGGCUCAUCGCAUCCUGGGGCGGUAGUCCGUCCCAAGGGUUGGGCUGUUCGCCCAUGAAAGCGGUACGCGAGCUGGGUUCAGAACGUCGUGAGACAGUUCGGUCCAUAUCCGGUGUAGGCGUUAGAAUAUUGAGAGGAGCCUUCUCUAGUACGAGAGGACCGAGAAGGACAUACCUCUGGUGUACCAGUUAUCGUGCCAACGGUAAACGCUGGGUAGCUAUGUAUGGAGUGGAUAACCGCUGAAAGCAUCUAGGUGGGAAGCCCACCUCAAGAUAAGUAUUCU